rnacentral:rRNA from 1 species
GUCUAGGGCCAUACCACCCUGAACACACCCGAUCUCGUCUGAUCUCGGAAGCUAAGCAGGGUCGGUCGGGCCUGGUUA